CUUAUCUACUCAAACAAGGCCACCCAGUAAUAACCUCCCGGCCUUUCAUCCUUCCCUAGGUUGUUAAGAAGAAUUCUGUGAUCUUGGGCAGUGGCCGACUAAUGCCGGGCAUGGCAGAGGCCAAGGAGGGGAGCCCACGUGUUACAACCAAGCUUCCUCAGAGUUUGUGAGUGAACAGUGAAGUUUCCAAAAGGCCGGGGCCCACAAACAAGGAGAAGGAGGGGGAGACCAUCAGGACAAAGAAGAUAGGCUGGUACCUCUCCUGAUGACGCUCCCUCGGCCUCUCUCUGCCCCUCCCCCGCCACCUAUCAGGUCGAUCUUCGCCUUGUCGUACGACCAGGAGCCAAACUUCAUCUUGCAGUUCUGCUGGUCGAAGGGGAAGAAGGUGACAUCGAUGCUGCAGGAGCUCUUGUAGAUGGCGGGGGGCACCCAGUGCACGGUGCCCGUGGAGAAGAGGAAGAACCUCAACAGCAGAGCCGGACAGUGAAUGCCCAGUGAAGUAUUUCCUCAUUUAACAGAUCAAUCACAGAAGUCUAACAUCUCAAGGUUGGGUGGAAACUCGUCUGGAUUGCCACACCAGCUGACAGAGAAAUCCUCUCCAGACAUUCCGGCCUCAGAAAAUCCCCAGCAAUGAAGAACUUGCUACUUUCCAAGUCAGUGAAUACCAUUGAUGUCUGUUAGCCGCUAUUAAAGGAUAUAGAGUAUUUACUGAAUGAGUCAAUAAAUGAUAAAAGAAGGAAUAAUUGUAGUAAAGGCAUUGAAGUAGCUUCAGUACAAUAAAGUGAUAACUCCUGAG